GCUUCGAUAGCUCGGUGGUUUGCGCGUCGAGCUGGUAACCCGGGGCUCGCGGGUUCGAAUCUCCGACUCGGAAGU